CACGGGUGAGUAACGCGUAGGUGACCUACCAUAUGGCGGGGGAUAACUAGAAGAAAUUUUAGCUAAUACCCCAUAAGCAACACAAUCUUGAAAGUAGUGUUGGAAAGGAUGGGACCUUCGGGCCAUCCACCGUUUGAUGGGCCUGCGUAGCAUUAGCUAGUUGGUGGGGUAAUGGCCUACCAAGGCGACGAUGCUUAGCUGGUCUGAGAGGAUGAUCAGUCACACUGGAACUGAGACACGGUCCAGACUCC
rnacentral:rRNA from 1 species